GUUCAGUCAGGAAUCACAUCAGUAAUGUCUCCAGAGGAGAGAGGAUCUCUACCUGUGGCUUCAUAUUCAUCAACUGCACCUUACCUAAUGGGACACACAUAUCAGCGUGGGUGUUUGAAGCCAAUAACACAUUGUGUAUUAACCCAACUACUGUCCCUACCACUAGUUUGGGUCACAUGUCCAUCAUAUGUGCGUUGAAAGUAGCUGUGAUAAUUCUCUUGUUAAUUGGGAUUCUCGUCUUUUUUGCCUGGAAGAAAAAGAGACAAGGAAAAGCUGAAGGCUCAGCUGUCCCACAAACACUGGAACCUCCAGAGAACUCUGUCAUGAUGGUUGAAAUGAGAGGUUCUGCACCUUAAAACAACAACUAGCGACACAUUUCAUCUGAUUUGUGUCUUUAUUGGUGUAAAGAAAUAGGGUUUAGAGUGAAACUCUGCUCCUGUUUCUAUUCUUCAUGAGACUCUGAUGACAGCUUAGCAUCUUUCUAUGAAUCCUCUUAAAUAUUUCUCAGUGUUUUCUUCAUGUUUAUCACUCAACACUCUGAUGGA